AAACUCUUCCUAGGGUUCUUUCUAGAGUACGGCAGCAAGUUGUCAGAUUCCCUAGUUGAAUUUGCUUUGGACAUCAGUGUGAAGCAGAACUGAUAUGCCACUUGAAUUAAUAAAGGAAGUCAAUGGGGUGCCUGAAGUUCAGCCGCUGAGUAAAUUACAUAAAGUAGAUUUCGGAUCCCUACAGCCAGGUUACAAUUAUAGCAAGAAAUAUAUUCAGGGAAAACUUUCACUUAUCUCUUCUUUAACUUAUCGUGGAAAUAAAACAGCUGUUUUGCAGAUUGGACUACAAGGACACCAUUGCAGUGGCUAGAUUUAUUGUUUUUUUAGCUUCUUCAUCUACAAGCAGAGAUGGUAAACCUUGCAUAUUUUUGAAAGCAUUUGAAGACCUCAAAUCAACUGUUUAUGUUUAUGUCAAAUCUUUAAGAGAUUUUUCUACAGAAUCAAUGUCUUUGGUUCCAGCAACAAAUUAUAUAUAUACACCCCUGAAUCAACUUAAGGGUGGUACAAUUGUCAAUGUCUAUGGUGUUGUGAAGUUCUUUAAGCCCCCAUAUCUAAGCAAAGGAACUGAUUAUUGCUCAGUUGUAACUAUUGUGGACCAGACAAAUGUAAAACUAACUUGCCUGCUCUUUAGUGGAAACUAUGAAGCCCUUCCAAUAAUUUAUAAAAAUGGAGAUAUUGUUCGCUUUCACAGGCUGAAGAUUCAAGUAUAUAAAAAGGAGACUCAGGGUAUCACCAGCUCUGGCUUUGCAUCUUUGACGUUUGAGGGAACUUUGGGAGCCCCUAUCAUACCUCGCACUUCAAGCAAGUAUUUUAACUUCACUACUGAGGACCACAAAAUGGUAGAAGCCUUACGUGUUUGGGCAUCUACUCAUAUGUCACCGUCUUGGACAUUACUAAAAUUGUGUGAUGUUCAGCCAAUGCAGUAUUUUGACCUGACUUGUCAGCUCUUGGGCAAAGCAGAAGUGGACGGAGCAUCAUUUCUUCUAAAGGUAUGGGAUGGCACCAGGACACCAUUUCCAUCUUGGAGAGUCUUAAUACAAGACCUUGUUCUUGAAGGUGAUUUAAGUCACAUCCAUCGGCUACAAAAUCUGACAAUAGACAUUUUAGUCUACGAUAACCAUGUUCAUGUGGCAAGAUCUCUGAAGGUUGGAAGCUUUCUUAGAAUCUAUAGCCUUCAUACCAAACUUCAAUCAAUGAAUUCAGAGAAUCAGACAAUGUUAAGUUUAGAGUUUCAUCUUCAUGGAGGUACCAGUUACGGUCGGGGAAUCAGGGUCUUGCCAGAAAGUAACUCUGAUGUGGAUCAACUGAAAAAGGAUUUAGAAUCUGCAAAUUUGACAGCCAAUCAGCAUUCAGAUGUUAUCUGUCAAUCAGAACCUGACGACAGCUUUCCAAAUGGAGUCUCGCUUCGUCCUCCAGGCUGGAGUUCAGUGGCACGGUCUCGGCUCAUUGCAGCCUCCACCUCCUGAGUUCAAGCUUCUCCUGCCUCAGCCUCCCAAGUAGCUGGGAUUACAGGCUCUGGAUCAGUAUCAUUAUACGAGGUAGAAAGAUGUCAACAGCUAUCUGCUACAAUACUUACAGAUCAUCAGUAUUUGGAGAGGACACCACUAUGUGCCAUUUUGAAACAAAAAGCUCCUCAACAAUACCGCAUCCGAGCAAAAUUGAGGUCAUAUAAGCCCAGAAGACUAUUUCAGUCUGUUAAACUUCAUUGCCCUAAAUGUCAUUUGCUGCAAGAAGUUCCACAUGAGGGCGAUUUGGAUAUAAUUUUUCAGGAUGGUGCAACUAAAACCCCAGAUGUCAAGCUACAAAAUACAUCAUUAUAUGAUUCAAAAAUCUGGACCACUAAAAAUCAAAAAGGACGAAAAGUAGCAGUUCAUUUUGUGAAAAAUAAUGGUAUUCUCCCGCUUUCAAAUGAAUGUCUACUUUUGAUAGAAGGAGGUACACUCAGUGAAAUUUGCAAACUCUCGAACAAGUUUAAUAGUGUAAUUCCUGUGAGAUCUGGCCACGAAGACCUGGAACUUUUGGACCUUUCAGCACCAUUUCUUAUACAAGGAACAAUACAUCACUAUGGAUGUAAACAGUGUUCUAGUUUGAGAUCCAUACAAAAUCUAAAUUCCCUGGUUGAUAAAACAUCGUGGAUUCCUUCUUCUGUGGCAGAAGCACUGGGUAUUGUACCCCUCCAAUAUGUGUUUGUUAUGACCUUUACACUUGAUGAUGGAACAGGAGUACUAGAAGCCUAUCUCAUGGAUUCUGACAAAUUCUUCCAGAUUCCAGCAUCAGAAGUUCUGAUGGAUGAUGACCUUCAGAAAAGUGUGGAUAUGAUCAUGGAUAUGUUUUGUCCUCCAGGAAUAAAAAUUGAUGCAUAUCCGUGGUUGGAAUGCUUCAUCAAGUCAUACAAUGUCACAAAUGGAACAGAUAAUCAAAUUUGCUAUCAGAUUUUUGACACCACAGUUGCAGAAGAUGUAAUCUAAUAUUGCCAUCCAAUUUAGCAUACAUAAAAUGUUGCCACUCACCUUCCCUGUUUGAGCUUCUUUUCCUGACCUGAGUUUUGUAUCAGCAAUGUUGAUGAUGUUAGCAUGGGUAUGGGAUUAGAAAAUGUCCUUACCUUAAAUCUCUUGGCUUUUACUGGGUGCAAGGUAAAUAAUGGCUAUGGAUUUUGUUUUGCUUUCUGUUUUGCUUUUGUACAAAGAGACCUGCUUAAACAAGUACUGCUGAGAUAAGUGUCUGAUCAAGCUACAGUGUACUUUAAGUAGAAAUGGCAAAGUUGCUUUGUUGGGGUGCUGAUACUGAUGAUUUUAGGAUAAAUUCAUUUCUUUAAACUUGUAAUACAUGGUUUUAUUGCUUGUUUCUCUCCAGGAUAGUAGAGAUUUCUCUAUUUCACCUCAACCUAAUAAAAGUGGUCAGAUUUAUAAUGUUAAUGACUUAAUAUUAUCCUUUUCUAAUAGUCUCAUGUAAAAUAUGCCGCUAUUACAACUUACAACUAAUUGAAUGAGAUGUUAACUUAGUAAAAUAGUUUGAUUUUUACCUGACAGUGUUUGUCAAAUUUAAAAUCAUGAAUAUUCAAUUUUAUACAAACAUUUAUAUAUAUAUAUAUAGAUUUGUGUAUGUUAUUUGCCAAAGACAGAUAUAAAUUACCUGGUUUAAUAUUAGUGAAGAAUAAAUAAGUGCACACAUUUCAACUGUUUCAUUUAUUUGCCCUAAGUUGAGCUGAAAAAUGAUAUGAGGCAAAGAAUCGAAAUAGGUGUGGCAAUGCAGCAGAUGUUUAGGGCUGUCUACAUCCCAGGUACUGUGCUAAGCACUAAACAUGUAUUUGAUCCUCACAGCAACCUAUUUUUCCGAUAAGAAAUCUGAGGCUUGAUUGAUAAGCUGACUUGACUAAGUUCACACAGUUUGUAAAAGCUAGAGUCUGUGCCUUAAUUCACAUAAUCUCUAUUCAGAGCCUGUACUGUUAACCACUCAAGGAUUCUGGAACAGAAGCUAACAGUUUUCUGCAACGAGUCUUUGACUUAAACAUCUGAAAUAACAUUGGAAAUAGAUUAUAAGAGGAGUCAGUGUGUUUUUCUAUAGUUUCAAAAUACUUUUAACAUCUUAUUGUCAAAAAGAUUGGAUAACUGACUUUCUUUGCUCAUAAUAACUCUAAAUUCUAGUUCCUGAGUACAUUAACACAUCUUCUUUACCUAACUACCAAUGUCCCCCAUCAUCGACUUAUCAGCUUGUUUGAGACAAUGAGAAAGACUGAUUUUAUUUUCAAGAAUAUAGACUCUUGGUUCAAAACAUUUUCAGGAAAAAUAUUUUAAAACCCUACAGUUGAACAGGUGUGUUUCCGUGUUGAUGAUGUGCUCAGGAUACAAAGGUGAAAUAAACAUUUUUUCUGCCUUCAGGAAGCCCUCAAUCUAGAAGAGUAGAGGUCCAAAGGUGCCAUAUGUUCACACUGUGAGCCUGCAAGAUCUCCACGUUAACAAAGGAAAACUCUUCCUAUGAAUCUUCAUGAUGAUAGGCCAUGUCUCUUCUUAUUUUUGUUUUAAAUAAACAUCCACCUUAUCAUGA